CACUACAUCCCCCCCCCCAUCUCACUGUCAGGAGUUAUUUUUGUAGACAAAAUGCUAGAAAUCAACUUAAAUAGAAACUAUCUCCUGGACAAUUUGCUAGAGAUAAAUUUGGACAUUAGCUAUUUCAGUGAUACCACAUUAGCUAUAAAAAUGAAGGAGAGAAAAGAAAGGAGAAAUCAUGUAAGCGUGGAUAGGGAAAGUAAUGGAAUAAGAAGAAAAGACAAAAAGGACAUGAGUGUACUGGCAAACGGAGGCUAAUGCUGGCGACUAGGGGACACCCGCCCAUAGGAGCACAUGAUAUUUCCAUUUUUUCAUGGAGAAAAUAUUUAUCCCAACUAAAUCAGUUGAUCCCAACACAAAAAGUUAGUAAUACGGAAUGUGGUAUAGUACGAAGAUGAUAAUUUUUUGCUGGCUUUUGAGCAAACAAUGUAUUUAAAGGGUUCAAUUGUCAAAAUAUGAAUGUGUCAACCUUUUAAGUGCUAUUUUGGAGGAUCUAAUGUUUCAGUUGGUAAAUCAUCGACAUUGUAAGAGCAAUUUCUUACCUCACAAACGAUACUUUGUUGGUAGCUAUUGAAUUAGCAAACUAUUAGUCUUGGAACAACCUUUUUGAUCCAACCAAAUAAAAGUAUAGUCUCUCUUCCAUUGGAUUUAUGAUUAUCAUGGAUCUAACUCUUUCUUUCUUAUAUGCAAAUAUGGAGUGCAUCUAAAUUAAAAUAAUUUCCUGAUGAUGCUAAUGUACAUAAUUUAUUUAGAAUUUAUAUGGAACCCCUUCUACUGGUGUAAAAGAACGAGCCUCUUAAAUAAUUUUUUACCAUAUUGAUAAAAAUGUUUAAUUUUGAUCACAGCUAGAGUAAUAAUAAAACAAAUAAUUAAAAGUGUACUUCUAUUUUAGAUUUAAAAUAGCUUCCAAUAAAAACAGGAGGUUGGUAGACAAUGAAUGGACUCCAUAAAGUAAAGUACGAACCCAUCCAAUCCUAUUUUACAACUUUGCCACUGGUAAUGGACCAAUGGGCCCCACUUUACAGACCGCUUCCUUCCCCACUCGCCCACUCCGUUUGUCAGUACACUCAUGUAAGCACUCGCCAAGCGAUAAGCUCGGAAUAAGCUGCAACAGCCGCCGAUGUCGCCGCCGCCGUCGCCGCCCAUGCUUCUCCCGCUCCUCCUCCUCCUCGCUGCCGGAUCCUUCGCUACGGCCAAUGUCAAGCCCGGCGCCCCCGCCCCGGUGCCGACGCCGUGGCCGGAGCAGUUCCACGCGGUGGUCUUCACCAACCUCACCGAGAGCGGCGGCCGGCUGCAGCUGAUCGACCUGUACUACGACUGGCCCAAGGGCCGCAACCUCAACCUCAUCCAAAACCAGCUCUCCGGCGACCCGACGUACGACGUCGAGUGGACCAACGGCACCUCCUACUACUUCGACUCCGGGUCCUGCCGCACCAUGCGGUUCCCCGUGGGGAUCCUGCCGCCGGACUGGCUCGCCGACGGCGCCGUGUACCUCGGCCGCGAGCACGUCGACGGCUUCGACUGCCACCUGUGGACCAAGGUCGAUUUCAUCUGGUACUACGAGGAAGUCGCCACCGGCCGCCCCGUCCGCUGGAAUUUCUUCAAUGGGAUGCAGUCUAAAAAUUCCAUCUUUUUUAAAUAGUUUUUUCCCUGAUGCAGCAGUGGUAUGGCAUGUCUGUAGUUUCGUUGUGCGUGAUGCGGGAUGCAGCAGCAUGUGAUGAGCUUUGAGGUGGGAGGAGUGUUGGAGGACUCCAAGUGGCAGGCUCCGGCUUACUGCUUCAAUGGCGACAACUCCGACACUGCCAAUGUGGCUGCAGAUGGAGUUGAUGUGAUG